GGAGGGUGCAAGCGUUAUCCGGAUUCACUGGGUUUAAAGGGAGCGUAGGUGGGAUGGUAAGUCAGUGGUGAAAUCUCCGGGCUUAACUCGGAAACUGCCGUUGAUACUAUCAUUCUUGAAUAUUGUGGAGGUAAGCGGAAUAUGUCAUGUAGCGGUGAAAUGCUUAGAUAUGACAUAGAACACCGAUAGCGAAGGCAGCUUGCUACACAAUUAUUGACACUGAGGCUCGAAAGCGUGGGGAUCAAACAGGAUUAGAUACCCUGGUAGUCCACGCCCUAAACGAUGGAUACUCGACAUACGCGAUACACAGUGUGUGUCUGAGCGAAAGCAUUAAGUAUCCCACCUGGGAAGUACGACCGCAAGGUUGAA
rnacentral:rRNA from 1 species